GACGUAGGGGGCCAGCGUUGUUCGGAAUUACUGGGCGUAAAGGGUGCGUAGGCGGCGCGGUAAGUCGGGUGUGAAAUCUUGGAGCUUAACUCCGAAACUGCAUUCGAUACUGCCGUGCUUGAGGACUGGAGAGGAGACUGGAAUUUACGGUGUAGCGGUGAAAUGCGUAGAUAUCGUAAGGAAGACCAGUGGCGAAGGCGGGUCUCUGGACAGUUCCUGACGCUGAGGCACGAAGGUCAGGGGAGCAAACGGG
rnacentral:rRNA from 1 species